CAAAUACUCCCUCCGUCCCAAAAUUCUUGUCUUAGAUUUGUCUAAAUACGGAUGUAUCAAGUCACGUCUUAGUAUUAGAUACAUCCGUAUCUAGACAAAUCCAAGACAUCAGUAUCUAGACAAAUCCAAGUCAAGAAUUUUGGAACGGAGGGAGUAUAAU
rfam:Triticum aestivum genome assembly, contig: Triticum_aestivum_CS42_TGACv1_scaffold_404122_5BL